GAGUUUGAUCAUGGCUCAGAACGAACGCUGGCGGCGCGCCUAAUACAUGCAAGUCGAGCGAGAAGGUGUAGCAAUACACUUGUAAAGCGGCGAACGGGUGAGGAAUGCAUGGAUAAUCUACCAUCGAGUGGGGAAUAACCAGCCGAAAGGCUGGCUAAUACCGCGUACGCUUCCGGGUUUUCGGGUCCGGAAGGAAAGCCAUGCCGUAAGUAUGGCGCUCUUUGAUGAGCUCAUGUCCUAUCAGCUUGUUAGUAGGGUAACGGCCUACCAAGGCUUUGACGGGUAGCUGGUCUGAGAGGACGAUCAGCCACACUAACACUGCGACACGGACCAGACUCCUACGGGAGGCAGCAGUAAGGAAUAUUGCGCAAUGGGCGACAGCCUGACGCAGCGACGCCGCGUGGGGGAUGAAGGUCUUCGGAUUGUAAACCCCUUUCGGGAGGGAAGAUGGGGCAGGUAACUGCUCGGACGGUACCUCCAGAAGCAGCCACGGCCAACUUCGUGCCAGCAGCCGCGGUAAUACGAAGGUGGCAAGCGUUGUUCGGAUUCACUGGGCGUACAGGGUGUGUAGGCGGUUUGGUAAGCCUUCUGUUAAAUCUUCGGGCCCAACCCGGAAAGCGCAGAGGGGACUGCCAGGCUAGAGGGCGGGAGAGGAGCGCGGAAUUCCCGGUGUAGCGGUGAAAUGCGUAGAGAUCGGGAAGAAGGCC
rnacentral:rRNA from 1 species